AGUUGUAAACAAACAGUGGCGGGCGUCGCCUUGUUAUCGAGACAACACCACCACCGCUGCAGCUCUCAACACACUCUCAACACACUCCAGCAGCACUCAACACACACUCAACACACUACAGCAGCACUCAACACACUCCAGCAGCACUCAACACACUCUCAACACACUCCAGCAGCACUCACUGCCUCGUUACUGAUGCAGUGUUAAAAGUUCACAGGUGUUGGCCAGGAGAAGAUGGGCUGUUGUGGUGACAGUGGGGGACCCUCCAAGGAGGAGGAGCGCCGACCUACAGAUGUCUUGUGGCUUAUCAUUUUCUUCCUCUUUCUAGUACUUAUGAUAUUUGUUGCCGCCUUUGCUCUUGUUUUUGGGAACCCUCUUCGAUUAGUGAACGGAUAUGACAGUUUUGGGAACGUGUGCGGAAGUGACAACGCAGACAUAAAAGAUCACAAUGACAGCUUGCUAAUAUUCUCCGGCUACGAUGUCAGUGACUACAAGUAUGUUAUGUUUUUUGAUGUGAGGGAUUUAAGUGUAUCCCUGAAAGUGUGUGUUAAACAGUGCCCUGAUAGGACACUCCAUACACUCCAAGAUAUUCAUGACUUCUACAACCGUACUGGCUCAAAACUUUGCAGAUAUGACUACGAGAAAUAUGAUCAAGAUGUUAGCUGGGUUAAAUCUUCUAAUGACCUGUCCCUGAAUGCCAGCUUGCUGUUAGCCGAGUGUCCCGCUUUGCCAGUUUUUCAAAGCAAUCCUGUACUCAAUCGGUGUGUGCCAUUAAAAGGUGAAGGACCUACAGGAAUUCUGUAUAACCUUUAUGGUUACCUCAAUACAAUGGAUAUUUUGGAGCAAGUGUUAGCGGACUUGUAUGCUUCCUGGCACCUGAUCCUCAUCUUUAUAUUCAUCACUUUAGGUUUGUCAUGUGCAGUGAUGCUGUGUUUACAUUUUGUAGCUGGGGUUGUGUCAUACGCUGUCAUGAUAGCUGUUUCAGUUGCCUCAGUUGUGGCAACAAUACUGUUAUGGUGGAGCUAUGCUACUGUUCGCCUGCAGCUUGAUAAUUCUCCAUUUGACCAGAUUCUUGAUGAAACCGUCCGCAAUGAACGAGCCUUGCUGGUGUAUGCCAUCUUAUCUACCAUCAUUACUGUCGCACUCAUUGCUCUGGUGGUUUAUGUGUGGCCGCAUAUCUCUAUGGUGGCAGAGUUGUUUAAGCAUGCUGGUGGAUGUCUCACUCGUCAUCCAACACUCCUGCUACAACCAGUCAUCACCUACUUUGUUUUACUGGCAUUCUUUUUGUUGUGGGUGUGGGUGAUGGUGUCCCUUGCCACAGCCAAACACCUGGGUAGUGGCAGUUUACAUUCAACCCAGCUUGAGGCUAUCAACAAUCAUUCUGCUGAGAGUUUAAUGGGAACCUCCACAAACCUCUCCACUGCACUGCCUAAGAGCACCCCACAAAGAGUGUUGGAAUAUAGGAAUCCUACUUGGGUGCGGUCCCUGUGGUGGGUGUGGGUAAUUGGACUGGUGUGGGUGGCUGAAUUUAUCCUAGGAUGCCAACAGAUGAUUAUUGCAUCAGCUGUGUCCACUUGGUAUUUCUCAAGACAGGAGGGCCGCGGAAAAGUACGGCACCCGGUGUGGUGGUCGUGGCGAACACUGCUGUUGUACCAUUUAGGCACUGUUGCAAAAGGGUCAUUGCUCAUCACCAUCUGCAAGCUGCCAAGGCUCAUCAUACAAUGGGUCACCAAAAAGUGCAAAGACCCUGAACACAGCUGCGCACAAUGUUGCCUUCGCGCAUGUUGCUGCUGCUUAUGGUGCUUUGAACACUUCCUCAAGUACAUGAACCACAACGCUUAUACCGUGACUGCCACCAGAGGCACUGCAUUUUGUACCUCGGCCAAGAUUGCAUGGCGUGUAGUCCUCACCAACAUGCUACAGGUGGCCACUGUCAACAGUGUUGGGGACUUGAUGUUAUUCCUGGCCAAAGUAGCUGUUACUGGGACGGUGUGUUGCAUAGCCCUCCCAGUGCUCCAUGCUGACCCCACUCUUCAUCUCUACGCAGUACCGCUCAUCGUCACAGCUGUGUUUGCAUUCUUCAUUACGCAUUGUGUCUUUUCUGUCUAUGAGAUGGCAGUUGAUACUCUGUUCCUUUGUUUCUCUGAUGAUUACAACACAUAUGACACCACUGAUGGCCGAGACUUAGUAGCAGACAAAGAACUGUAUGAAUUUAUGGUAAAGCACGAGGACAUCGACAGGAAAAAUUCUCGGAAAUCUCGACGCAGAGACCCUCCCGAGACUAUCAGGUUUAAGGAAGGAACUGUGUAAGCAUGUAUUACUUGCAUGGCAAUUUAUUGUCAUACCAUAUAUUGUUAUACCUGAUAAUGUAUGAAAUACAGUACUUUCCAUUUAUAUUAGUUAAUGUCCAGGUGGAUCAUCUGGAAGGGAAAUUACUAAACAUGCUUGUUGGUGACUAAAUAAUACAGUUAUGAACUGUGUAUGAACAAACAUUACACCAAAUUUUAUCAAAUCAUCAUAAUAUUAUAAAUAUUAUACUUUAAAUGUUGUUGGUUUAUAUUGAUUUCCUGAAUAUUCAGGUUUUUGGAGAAGAUAGCAGUACAAGAUAGGUUGCUGUAUUAUUUGUUCGUAUCAUUAACCCGUAUACGUAAAUGUUUUAUUUGAUUUACUUUGCAAGAGAAGUGUUGAUCUUAACUGUGAUUUGUAAUAACAUCAGCUGCUCUUCUCAUGGAGAAUAAUUUUUAGUUGGUCACACAUGUGCUGUGUUUGUUAGUACAGUACUGUACUGUAUAGUGCUUAGGAGUUAUAAUUCAGUAAUCCUUAAAUUUGUUUUAGAAUAUUUUCUUAUUUCUGGGAUAAUGAAUACAGUAUUUAAUAAUUGUCUAGUACCUAACAGUUUAAUUGUGAACUUUGGGCAUGAUACACUUUGUGAUAAAAAUAUUAUAUUUCAGUAUAAUUUUAAAUUGUUCUCAUGUCUGGAGUAUAUAUUGAUUAAAAUAUAUAUUAUGUAUUUUUCAAAGAUUCACGAAAUCUUUGAGAUAUGAAAAAAAUAGGCAUUUAUAAUUUUAAUGCAAAUUCAAUACAAGAAAAGUUAUUAUGGAAGAUAUGUGCGAGAUUGAAUGAAAGGCUUUACCAGAAAGAAUUUUAAUUACAGACAAAAUUAUCACCUGUCUCAAAACUGUAGCACAUUACAGUAGUUGAGCAUUAACUUCAUGCAAACAUUUCUGAACUUGGAAUGGCAGAUAGAAGCAAUUCAGUUUUAUGUUGUUACUAAAUUUAUUUAUGGCACUUUAAAUUUACCACUUUCUUUCACACUGUAUCUGAAGAAAAAUGAAACUUUUUAGUUUUGUCAAUAAGGAAAUUAGUUAAUGCAUAUUUUCAGGUACUGUAUUUGUGUUACCAUUAUUAAUGUUUAUCUGAUACAGACGUGUUGAUAAUCAUGUUUUGCUCUACGUACUUUGUUUUGUAAUUGUAAGAAUAGUUAGGUUUAGAUUAAACUGUGUGGGCCAAUAAUGUAAACAGUAGUAGCUUAUAUCUACUGCUCUCUAUUUUGAUAACUGUAAUGAGCCAUGUGAUCUCACAUUUGAUAACGAAAGUGACUGUUUUGUAAUGCAGUGGCUGUCUCGCAACUUAAGGACAUGUGCUCCCAUUACAAAGGAUGCUUGUGGGGAGUGGGUGUGUUGGUGUCUUGCUAGGGAGUCAUGGCUUGCUUAAGUAGUCUUUUUUUACCUCAUGUUUUAAUGUCUUAUUAAGUUAUUACUGUUUUAUUUAAUAUUUAACUUUUGUACCGUUAACCUUCUGCACAUGGAAUGCGCAAUGUUAUAAUUUCAGAAAUAUUGUACAGUAUUUAGUACAUGUAAUUGGACAUGUAACAUGAACAGGACAGAUGCAGCAGGAUUUAGUAUUAAUGUGACUAAGUUUUGUAUGUUACAAAACAAGUUUUGGUACUACAGAUUAUAAAACGAGAAUAGUUCCGUCCCAUUUCCACUUUACUAGUUUUUGAUUCAUUAUUAUAUAUCUAAUACAGGCUCAUCCUUGUACUUAAAUAUUUUCAGUAAUUGCAUGAUUUUUUUUUUAUUAUAACAAAAUUUGUCAAUACAGAAUGUUAGGCUCUCAUUUUGUGCCUACAGACCAGACAUGUGAAGGGAAACCUUUCUUCUUGUUAAAAACUUUGAAUGAUAUCUAGCCAAGUGUGUAGAGUUGAAAAUAAAAUAUUUGAUUAUAUACUGUAUGAGCUCGAUUAUCAGGACUCUAUGGGAAGGAUUCUUAUCUGGAUAAGCAUUAUUCUUAUCGGGGGAAAUACAAAAAUUAACAUAUUCCAAGCAUUUUUUAUCAGUAAUGUAAUUUAAAAAACUUCAGCUUACCUUGUUGUACACACAGAAAUCACAAUUGCGUGAUGCAUCAAAUGAACAAAUCCACAAGGGCCGUGACGAGGAUUCAAACCUGCGUCCGAGAGCAUCCCAGACGCUGCCUUAAUCGACUGAGCUACGACCAUGUCGUAGCUCAGUCGAUUAAGGCAGUCUGGAUGCAAUUUUGUCUGGAUAACCCCGAUAUCCAGUUUAGUGGAAUCUGGAUAAUCUAGCUCAUACAGUAUAUUUGAUUUAACUUGUUAUGUUCAUACAAAAAUGCUAUUUAAAAGAAUACACAGUAUACAGAUUUUGUAGGUACGUUGUUGUUGCAGAUUGUGCAAUAUUUAAGAAGCAACUAAUUAAUUAGUGAAUAAUUAUAUAUAUAUAUUUAUAUACAGUAAGCCACGUGCUUUCCGAACCCCUUGGGACUGAGACUGAAUGGAUAACUGUUGUGUUUGGAUAAGUGGUUCGUCAUCCCCGAUAAGCUAGGGGAAAAAAAAUUAAAAUUUUAUUGCAGAAAUUUGAAUGUUUUGUCUGUACUCAUCAAUAUAAGAGGUUCUGAUCCGCUUGUUAACGUGAAGAUUAUAGUUGAUGGAGCAUUGUUAUUUAGAUUUAAAAUGCAGUGGUGGAUGAUGAUAGUGCUGGGUUGACUGAAAUGGUGAUUAAUGGUGACGAGGUAACCUCAGCAGACCGCCUUUCACCAUGUACUAUACUGUACCUAAUGCCAUGGCAGAUUUUAAAGCUUCUGAGCCAUUCAUUAGUAUAGGAACACUGUUCAAGUGGUGCUGUGUACAGUCACUGGGCAAACCUAAUUCCAUCUUUAUUGCACGUUUUUAUUCAGACUUUUUAUCGGAACUACUGUAACUCAAAUAAAAUAACAGGCAUUUUCGGAACAUAGGCGUUCGUAAAGCACGUGGCUGACUAUAUAUAAUAUAAUUAUGCAUGUGUACUAUACAUGUACAAUAUUAAACAUGUAUAUUAUAUAUGUAUAUUAGCACUGAAGAAGAACCACACAUAAAAGCCAACCUUUACAGUAGACAAUGUCUUAAAUUGAGACAAGUAAAAUGGUUACAGUAAAGGCUUUUUCUUAGUUUGUCAUAAUCACAUUUUUUUCAGCAGCUGUAGCCCUUUAGUAAACAAUCCAGUUAAGUUAUUUUGAGGAGAGACUAAUACAAUAUUUGAUCAUCAUCUCUGCCCGCCCCCAUUUUCAUGUUAUGGUGAAGAACUUUGCAUUAAUUGGAGGAAAGAUGGAUCUCAAUUCCAAUCUCUUUCCUCUAUCACAUGGGGUAACAAGAUGCUAGGGUUAUAUAGCACUGGGAUUAUGGGGCUGUGUGCACCACAGUGCUUGGCACCUGAUUUAUGAGGCUGUGUGCACCACUGUGCUUGUCACCAGGUUCAUGAGGCUGUGUGCACCACUGUGCUUGGCAGUGGAGAUGCCAUAUUCCCCAUGAAAAAUGCAGUGUAUUUGAAAUAAUCACAAAUAAAAUACUUUACAUUAAUGAUCUUUCUGCACUGCAAUUGUGCAAAUAUUGGUCUUCAGAAAUUGUUUUACAAUUAUUUGUUAGCUUUUAACAUACUUGAUUUGAAAUUAUUAAUGUUUAAAGAUACACUGAUUUUUUAAGAUUAGCUAUGUAUCAUUGGAACAAAAUCUUGUGAAUCGUCUUGAAUAUAUUAUUUAUGAUUAUUCAAGUAAAUCAUUGGCUUAAUUUUUUGUUUAUUUUAGAUUGGUAUACUAAAGAAAUUACAUUAAAAAAAACUUUACUUCUGAAAACUUUCUUUAAAUGUGAUACAAGUGCUUAAAUUUUUGUUUACUUAAGUACAUUUUUACUUUAUUAUGUAAAUACUUUCCUUACAAAAUAUAUUAAACAUUUCAUUAAUUGA
rnacentral:misc_RNA from 1 species